UACGUAGGGGGCAAGCGUUGUCCGGAUUUAUUGGGCGGAAAGAGCGUGUAGGCGGUCAGGUAGGUCCGUUGUGAAAACUCGAGGCUCAACCUCGAGACGCCGAUGGAAACCAUCUGACUAGAGUCCGGAAGAGGAGAGUGGAAUUCCUGGUGUAGCGGUGAAAUGCGUAGAGAUGUGGAGGAACACCGAUGGCGAAGGCAGCCCCCUGGGCUAGUACUGACGCUCAUGCACAAAAGCGUGGGGAGCAAACAGG
rnacentral:rRNA from 1 species